AAUAGCAUAUUCAUUUGACGUUAGCUGCAGAAGAAGCACCGGCUAACUCCGUGCCCAGCAGCCGCGGUAAUACGGAGGGUGCGAGCGUUAAUCGGAAUUACGUGGGCGUAAAGCGCUAUGCAGGUGGUUUGUUAAGUCAGAUGUGAAAGCCCGAGGCUCAACCUCGGAAUUGCCAUUUGAAACUGGCAAACUAGAGUACUGUAGAGGGGGUAGAAUUUUCAGGUGUAGCGGUGAAAUGCGUAGAGAUCUGAAGGAAUACCGGUGGCGAAGGCGGCCCCCUGGACAGAUACUGACACUCAGAUGCGAAAGCGUGGGGAGCAAACAGGAUUAGAUACCCUCGGUAG
rnacentral:rRNA from 1 species